UGGGUGAUCUGCCCUGCACUUCGGGAUAAGCCUGGGAAACUGGGUCUAAUACCGGAUAUACCUCAUUGAUCUCCUGGUUGGUGGGGGAAAGCUUUUGCGGUGUGGGAUGGGCCCGCGGCCUAUCAGCUUGUUGGUGAGGUUACGGCUCACCAAGGCGUCGACGGGUAGCCGGCCUGAGAGGGUGUCCAGCCACACUGGGACUGAGAUACCGGCCCAGACCUCCGUACGGGAGCAG
rnacentral:rRNA from 1 species